rnacentral:lncRNA from 1 species
GUGCGGUGCUCUGCCGUGGGGGCAGUGGGGCUGAGAAGGCCAAGAAGGAGAGGGGAUAUGGCAAUACCCGGCUCCAUCCAAGAUGGAGGGCCGGGCCAUGAGCUCUUGCUGUUCCCAGGUCUCACUCUUCCUGAGCCCAGCGGUUGGCCCUUUCCUUGUGUGGCUCAUAUGACUAAUGAGGAAACUGAGGCAAACAGGAUGAAGUGACUUGCCCAGGUCACACGGCUAGUCAGUGGCUGAGGAUGCCCAAGAAAGGGAAGAGGCGGUGGGCUCUCUGGGUGGAAGGGGCAUGCAGGGGGUGCUGAGAGAAGGUGAAGAGGAAUGGGGAAAGGCUUCCUGCAGUCCAAGGAGGCGGGAAGCUAGAGAGCAGCGAGGAGGAAGAGAGCCUGAGCCGGGCAAAGGGCAGUGAGGAGGCCAGCGGCAGGCUGGCGGGGGAGCAAAGAAGCCCUGAACGCCCAGCGCAGGGCUCGAGCCUUGCUCCUCCAGGUUUCAGGGCCGGGCCGGGCUUUCCGGAGCUCCCUUGGCCAGCUGAAUGGAAGAUGGCGCAGGGUGCAUUCGAGGCCGGAGCCGCCAUGUUGGAUUGGGAGGCUGCCAGGCGGUGGGAAGGCCGCCUGGGACCGGAUGGAGGCUGUCUGGGAAGCUCUUGGAGACGGCCUCAGGGGCAUCAGCUGCGGAGGCGGAGGGCGGGCCUGGAGCUCGAGGCAAGGAGCCUCGGCCUAGCCUUGGAACGCCUCGGCUUCGCCUGGCCCCCCCGGCUCUGCUCCCACAGCCUUGGCGUCCCCCGGAGCCGCGGGAGGCACCUUUCCCGCAGCUGUCUCUGGGGGCCCAGGUGAGAGCGACGGAAGGUAGGAGGGAGCGGCGGAGGGCGUUGCUGGGCCAGCGGAAGGAUUUCUCCCUGAGGGAGGGGAGCUGCGGCUUCGGGGGUUCUUUAAGGGCUGGAGAGGGGCAGCCGCUUAGCGAGGAGCUGGGGCAGAAUUUGAAUUCAGCCCUCACUGCCAGACAAUCCAGGGGGCGGAACAGGAGAGUAUGAGGAAGGAGAACGGCCCCAGGGGCUGGGGAGGGGGCAGGAAGUCCUCCCGGGUCAGAGCAUGCUGGGGGCCGGCCCCUCCCAAAGCCUCCAAAGACAGGCCCCAUCCAAGCCCCUGAGGCAGCGGGGUCAAGUGGCUUUUCCUCUGGGCCGGCUCUGCGCCCUCUCCUGGGGGGGCGAUGCCUCCCGGGCCCCCCCUCUCACCAGGCUUCCGUGGGGAUGGGCCGGCCAGCGGGCCCUGGAGGACCGCCUGGAGCAGAGCGCGGCGGCCAGGAAGCCCAAGAGCAGGACCAAGUUCUCCCCGGAGCAGCUGCGGGGCCUCCGGACCAUCUUUGCCGGCUCGCUGUACCUGACCCCCGAGAAGGGCCACCAGCUGGCCGCGCUUCUGGGGCUGAGCUACAAGCAGGUACGGCGGGACGUCUGAGGGCCCUGGAGGCCUGGCAUUGGGGGGAUGAGGCGGCCAGCAGGCC